rnacentral:tRNA from 2 species
GGCCCCGUCGGAGCGUCACGGCUGGUCGGGCGUUCGAUUCUGGUGACCUUGUAAUGCGUAGGUCGUCGGUUCGAAUCCGACAGGGGGCCCCA